GACGAACGCUGGCGGCGUGCUUAACACAUGCAAGUCGACGACGCUACUGAGUAGCAAUAUUUAGUAGUGGAGUGGCGCAAGGGUGAGUAAUGUAUACGUAACCAACCCAUCGGAGACGGAUAACAUUUCGAAAGGGAUGCUAAAACGGCAUGAAGCCACGAUUUCGCAUGAGAUUGUGGUUAAAGAACCGGUAACAGGUUGCCGAUGGCUAGGCGUAUAUCCGAUUAGUUAGUUGGUAGUGUAAUGGACUACCAAGGCGACGAUCGGUAGCUGGUCUGAGAGGAUGAUCAGCCACACUGGCACUGAGACACGGGCCAGACUCCUACGGGAGGCAGCAGUGGGGAAUAUUGGGCAAUGCCCGCAAGGGUGACCCAGCAACGCCGCGUGGAGGAUGAAGGCCGUAAGGUUGUAAACUCUGACAAGCAGGGAAGAACGGCUAUGGUAAAAGGCCAUAGAAUGACGGUACCUGCCUGAAGCCCCGGCUAACUACGUG
rnacentral:rRNA from 1 species